UAUUACAUAUGUCUCCUUUUCCCCCCCCCGCCCUUGACAAUCCCCUGGCCUCCCCUACCCCCCAGUGUCUUAGGUCCAUUGGUUAUGCUUUAACGUACACUUCUGGCACAACCUUCUCCAUUACAGUUCCAAAAUAGAAAGAUAAGGCUAGAAUUCUUAUAGCUCUCUUUACUGUGCUCUGUCCUCUUUUGAGAGCUCUGAGUUUUUUGGUAUGUUUUUUGUCCUUGUGUUGUUGGUUUUUUAGGGGCAUUGUGAGGCAGUGCCCCAUAGGAAAAUUCUAGGUGUGUGAGAGGCAGUCUUUUGAAAAUAGAGAGUGUGGUGAUGGUGAAAAGGAAAGUAUUAAAGGGAAGUGUUAGAUCUGAACAGCCUUUAUCUGAGCAUAUAAAUCUUUGGACUGUACAUAUGGUAAUUAAAAAUCUUUAACUUGAUUUUCUUAUAGAUAUUCCCUAUCUACUUUUCCCAUGGAAAAAAUCUUGGUCUAUGCCCAGGGUUACCAGUAUGUCAGUUUGAAGAGCAAGGCCUUAGAAUUACCAAAUGUAAGGAUCUUAAUAAUCACCUACAUGACUUGUUUUAAAAGUUGAGCUCACGCAAACACCUUCUCCCCGGUCCCCUUCCUCAAAUCACAAACAUACACACUGACCCUUUGGUCUGGGCCACGGAUUGUUAUUUGCACAGGUGUUCCUGGAAGCCGGCACAGUGGGCCGCAGACCACACUUUUGGAAGUCUUGCCCUUAAAGAGAGGGGUUUUGCAGGUAUAGGCAGUAAAAUGAGUUUCCUUUAUUUAGCAUCACAUUUAAUUUCUAGAGGAUAAGUUUUGUAAAAGUUGGUGAUUUUAAAAAUGGGGGUUAUACUCAACCUUUUUUAUAUGCACAUGAGACCAAAGGUCGGAGGUCUACUAAAGUCACAGAGCCUGAACUAGAAUUCAAGUCUAAACUAGCUUAAACCAGACUCGCAGUACAUCUUUAAGCCAUUAUUGCUUUCUUCUCCUUAUUUAUUAAAUAUUUAAAUGAUGGUGCUUUGCUGAAUUUGAAACAACUGAUAACCUUAAAAUACUAGAGGAUAUGACUUGGCAGCCAAAAUUGGACUUUACAGAGAAUAGUGGCUUUUAACCCUUUUUCCCACGCGAGAGAAGGCCCAGGAAAUGUCAGGCUUUCUUAUAUAAUCAGAUGAAUUAUUCCUCCCAUUGGGAGGACAAGGAAAGGUGUCAGAGGAACCUGAAGCAUUUUCUCCAGAAUUGUUCCUUCUAGGCGAAUGCUGCUCAAAAGUCUGCCUCUAGGCGUUUAGGGACGGACACAUACACACACACACACACACACACACACACACACACAUACAUGCAAUAAGUGGAACUAAUCCUCAGUUUAAUAUGUUGUUAGGCUAUGGUAAAGGUUCUAAAACUGGAGAGAGAGAAAUUACUUUCCUCCCUAUUUUCCCCCCAAUACGCCUCUCUUCAUGUUAGUUUAACGGCCCUCAGUUUUACUCUUUCCAGUCGAAUGUUUUUGCAAGUGAUAACUUAAGAGGCAGGGAGGAUUGGGAAUCCUGUUAUUCUCCUUAUGUUAAGUUUCAGUAUUUUAGAAAACUUUAAAAAAUUGUAAAAUAUGACUUGUGUUUGUAGAUAGUCGAUGCUAAUUUUGGUACACCCUUGCACAGAAUCCUCCGGUGAUCCUCCAUUUUCCUCCUCUUCCCCUUUGUUCACCUGGGUUUUCACUGUUCCCAUUAGUACUGAGUACUUUGCUUAGAAGAUCCUUGAGCUGUGUGUUUGAGCUGAAAAUAUAAUAAGCCUACACUCGGGCUCACUGUGCCUUUAUGGACCCUUUUGAGCCACUGAAAGUAAUACAGAGAAGUGUAUCUGCAGUAUUUCUUGGUACCAUAUCUGAAAUCCAAGAUGCUGCUUCUGCACUUGGUUUUUCCUUUACCCGGGAUCCCUACUCAAUGUCUUCUGGGAGUGUAGCACAAGAAGCAGAAUUCCUUAUUUCUUGAGGGCAGAAUGGUGCAGUCAGCAGUUCCUCAGGUGCAGAAACUAAACCAUCUUCAUCUGUUUCCGAUACUGUUCUUUUUUCGGUGCCACUGCAUUACAGGUACAUUUUACUCAGUGUCACUAAAGCAAGCAUUUGUAGAUGCAGUCUUUGCUGUUUGCUACUGUGUGAUAUAUUCUUGACUUCCAAACACUACCAUUUGUCUGUCCUUACAAUGAUCAUAUGCUCUGAGUUGUUGGAAACGUGCCAGUUUACUCCCCAUUUUUGAGCAUGCUAUCUUCAUCUCUCCCCUUUCACUCAGAUGUCUUCAUUGGGAUGUUAAAUUAUAUGGUCUCUGUAUAGGCCAUGCUUGAGUUGAAAUCCUGAUUGAGAGGAAAGAGCCUGUUGAAGUAGGUGUCAGUGGAGUUUAUGGUAUCUGUUGUAUUGCGCCUUAGACUUGUGAUUAAUGAAAUCAUCCCCCAUUAGCAGCACAUUUCUUGUUUUUGUUAUUUAAAUUAAUAUUUAUGAUCAUGUUAUCCUGGACAAAAAGUUCAGAGCAUCAAUGACAAAUCCUUACAAAAGCAAAGCAAAUUUCUAGAUUAUAGUUAAAGAUGUCUCCCACCCUUUAAUAUUAACUCAUUAUACUUGCACUGCACUUAUAUUUGAUUUGCUUCUGUACUUGCUACUUAAAUCAGACUUUAUUAAAAUAUCAGACCAAGCCUUUAAAAUAAUAACCAUUUCUCCACAGUCCAUCUAUGGAAUAGCAUAGCUUCCCAAUCCAAGCUUGAAUAAUGGAUUGGCGGUCCAGCCAUGCUAGCCUGCAACCCGCCAUGAACUUUUCUAAUGUAAAAUGGAAUCACUGCCAAGCAUUUGAAAUAUGCAGUUGUGUUUUAAUAAUGUAUAUGUAUUUAGAUGUGUAUAAUGCUUUAGGGACAUUAUUUUGUUUGUAAGAAUUUAUUUUUAAAGGUAAUGAUCGUUUGUAGCUUUUAAAAUGCCAGUUCAAUGCACUGUUGGCUUCUUUGAGAAGUCAUUCAUGAGAAGUUGGUGACUGUUAGGUCUUGGGUUCUACAAUGCUAUUAUAGUGUUACCUCUUGGUUCUCUUUAGAAAGGAGUCUUGUUAACCAGCUCUCUGGUUUUUAUUCUACGGAGUUACGUGAACUGAAAGUAUAUGUGGCUUUAGAUACUGUGAACCUUGUUUUCUGUUUAGUCAGUAUCUGCUUCAGUUGUUCAGACCCAUGUUCUAAAGAAGAGCUCAUAUUGAUGGUUCUACCAUUGUUGGGUGUCCACGCGUCCACACACAAUGUCAGGAUUGAUGAUACUUUUGCUAAAAAUGGGCGUGGUUAGAAACUAGCUGUGAUUAAAAUCUGCAUGUCAGAAGGUAAGGGAACCUGCCUGCUCUUUGCUGUGCCACAGGUGAAGCGCACGCUGUUGGCAGAUGCCUGGGCUUUUGCACUGCCAUCGGCGUGUGGAGGUGACUUUGUUGGAAUUGCCCACAUUUGUGAUGAGCAGAGUUGUGGUUUCGCAUAUGAGGAGAAAUAUUGAGGACCCUAAACUGAAAAUGGGUGUCUGAGGGAGUGGUUCAAGUAAGUGGCUUCCCAUGCCUAAUUUGGGGAUCGUUUUUCCGAAUUGCUUUGACAUGUCCUUUCUUUGACAGCUUUUUUUGUUUGCCAUUGCUAUAGCCUUCCUUUAUGGGAGCUACCAGAUCUCUUUCCUUCUGUGGGAGAAUGUCCCAUGAGCAUUUUAAGAUCUUUUGAUGCAGUGAGCAUGCAGUCCCAACUAAUGUCGUUACUGGUGAAUGUAGCAUUGUUAAAGAAAAUAUAAUAAAUCUACACUUUGAUUUACUGUACCUCUAUCAAGAGCUUUUCGAAUGGCUAAACAUGUUACAGAGAAAGAGUUGUAUCUGCAGAAAAGCUGGUCAGUAUUUCUCGGUAGCUUUUCUGAAAUUCAAGGUGCUACUUCUGCAGAUGGUUUUCCUUAUCGGGGAGCAGAGCACAGCAAGUAGAAUUCCUCAUUUCCUGGAGGCAGAAUGGGUCAGAGAUCUAAAAGGGCCAAAUAGUGCUAUCAGCAGUUCCUUUCUCAGGACAGUUGGUGGAAUUUGGCAAAUGCUUUAUUGAAAAUUGAUAUUAUUAUAGCACCAAGAGUUUGUCGGGGCAUCUAAUUUCUUAUCCCAAGGCGUUUUUAGUUCGCUGUUGACUUAGCAGCGAUUAGUUUGGUGGCAGACAGUUCCCCUUCCUUCCUCCCUUACUGUUUUUCCCUUGGAGCUCGAAGUUAUUCUCUACUCUUAGGUAUUGCUUUUACACCAAAGGCCUUCUGUAUACCACGUCUUUAGAUAAGAUUCUGCUUUUCCAGUCAGUCCCCGGAAUGUUUCUGUUGCAGUUAGUUGGUGGAUUUUAGCAAUAAGGAAGGGAAGCUGUGACAUCAGAGUUACUGAUGGAACACAGUUUGUGACAGCAGUUCCCUUGGUGUGUGCCAUAGGGGAACAGGGCAAUGAGCUCCCCUGUGCCUCAGCGCUCAGAAAUUGAGGUCAGCCUUCCCUCUUCAGGGGGAUUGUAUCUUUCCCCUCUAGGUGGCAUUGUUUUUUCAUUUUCUCUUAAUAAGAAUCAAAAUGUCUCCUUUGGUUUUUUCUUUCCCCCGUAUAAAAGUAGUGGAUAGUGUAUUCAAAGGGGAAUGAAACCUUUCCGGCCCCUUGGCACUUGGCAAGGUAGGGUCUUAAGCAGCCUGUGGAUGGGACUCUCCGUAGGUUAUAGCUGGACACUCUUAAGUGCCUCUCAGAGAUGAGUAAGAUUGUUCCACCACCGUGAGUCCAGUCUCGACCUUUUCACACCACAGUUUUUCUCUUUGUACCUCAUAGUACCUCAUAGUCUGUUAACCGUGGGGGAGCAACUUAAACUAUAACUGCCUUGAGUAAGAUAUUAGAAGUUGUUAUGCCCUUGGAGACCAAGCUCUGGGAUUUUCAUAAAGUGGGAGAAAAUGGCGAUUCAAAAUAGCUUCGAAUAGUGGCCAGCUCACUGGAGCGAGGGAAGGAGACUGUCGUGUGCCCACCUGGUCUUUGUAAGUCCACUGAGUUAAUAGCCCUGCGUCUUUUGUUUUUGCACUAUGUAAUGCUUUUAAUACCUGUUGAUUCUGUUGUGCUUUGUGUAAUAAAUAUUUUUAUUUUGCCA